rnacentral:rRNA from 1 species
UACGUAGUGUGCAAGCGUUGUCCGGAAUUAUUGGGCGUAAAGAGCUCGUAGGUGGCCUGUCGCGUCGGCUGUGAAAACUCGGGGCUCAACUCCGAGCUUGCAGUCGAUACGGGCAGGCUAGAGUUCGGCAGGGGAGACUGGAAUUCCUGGUGUAGCGGUGAAAUGCGCAGAUAUCAGGAGGAACACCGGUGGCGAAGGCGGGUCUCUGGGCCGAUACUGACACUGAGGAGCGAAAGCGUGGGGAGCGAACAGG